GGGGCCGUAGGGUAGCCUGGACCAUCCUACUAGACUGGGGGUCUAGUGACUGGAGUUCAAAUCUCCACGGCCCCA
rnacentral:tRNA from 3 species